GACGAGAUCGUACUAUUAACAGAGUCGUCGGAGUCUCAUGCAUAGUUCCGCAUACCAAGCAAUAGAUUAGUGAGACGUUCGAGUCAACUAUUUCCGUGACGUGAACAAGCUCUGUAACUUCAGUUUAACAUCUAUCAUUCAAUACUUUUCGUGGAGAUCUUCAGCAUAAAAGUCAGUGUUUUGUCAACGUAGUUCACUGUUUGCUUUAAAUUCAAAACUCAACAUUCGCUACCACCCACCCAUCCCACUCUGGGCCGUGCAAGAAAGCAACCGAAAAAGCUCAAACACGACAUACUAUCAGAAUUAACGGAAAAACAUCGAAAAGCUAACAGCCAGCAGACAGAAUCGCAAGUGAGGUCGAAGCAUAGCAGAUUGUUGUUCGUUAGUCGCAGUCGAACGUUUUGGAUACAACAGUUGAGCUCCAGUAGCUCUCGAACAGCUCCAUUAACUCCGGACAAUCCCGAGCUGGAUUAAGUACUUAAACACUACCGCGGAGUUGAACGAAGAGCUCGAAGAGUCUUCUCGCUAUUGUGUGACCAUUGAAGGGAAAGUCCUCAUCGUAGUCCAGCACACUGCCAUUGCAAGGAUAAAAAGUCGCCCAGAUACAGUCUACAGCAGAAAAGAUACGUAAUCAGCAUUUCCCGAAGAUAGAUACUUCCAGUGACAAAGACAUCAGACUAGUGCAUAAGAUACCUGCAUUAGGCACUCCAAUCAGUCGACAACACCUUCUAAUCCGGCGUGUUGUGAGAUAUUUUGCAGUCAUCAUUCAGCUAUUUUUAGUGCCCCUCGAACGGUGGAGAUCACAUCCAAAAGCCAGCCGAUAAGAUAAAGACACCCCUUUGCUUACAACCGAAAGAUAAAGCAAUUACCGAAACCGGCGAGGAACUUGCUCAAGAAAUCGUGUUUUCAGUCGUCGCGAAAAAGUGUCGCAUUCAGAAAAGCUAACGACUGUUACGGCAGGUGAUUAGUAAGCUUUCGAUAGUCAACCGUUCAGGUGUUCUAAAGUUUUCGCUCCUCGACUAGAUACACACUACAUUGUGAAAGAUACCGCGGGACGUCUUUAUUCGCAAAGAUACAGUCCAAGCAAUUGAAUAUAGCGAGAGAAUUUCAAGAUCACAUCCGACCAAGUAGAAAGUAAAUCUUUGGAAAAUUGUAGUGCAUUUUCUCAAGCCAAACAAAAGUGAAAGCGUUCGCCUUGUCCUUAAGUCCGAUAUUUUAAGAAACGGAAGUUUAAGAAAAUUGAGAUUUUUAUACAUAAACACCCGCGUACGGCAGCGUUUAGUAUUCAUUUAAUUGUGGCUCACUAAUGACUCUAAAUAACAGAAGAUUUUCGGUCACUAGCAUAGUUUGUUCGGUUUCGUUGCUCAAUUCAGUGAGAGAGUUUGAAUCGUGUUAAGUGACGUCUAGAUCCACUCAGCCAAACAAUACUUCAUAUUAUCCAGCAAAUUGAUGACCUGAAUACACAAUAUUUUGGACAAUCUCAAAUGAGAUAAAAACGUGUACAUCUCAUCAUUUAGUCUAAGGAGCUGUACAUAGAUUGUAAUUAAAAUUCGUAGUCACGAAUAUUAGAUUUUUAUAAAUACGUAGAAAAACUUAGAGCAAACCGAAUGAAAAAUGCUUCGAGGCGGCAACAACGUACCAUCAGUUAGACGACACAAUAUGGCAACCAUAUUUUGUACUCUGAUGAUAGUUUUAUCAGCAAUAGUAAGCUCAGUAAUACCAGCACCAGCACCAGUACAGAAAACAGCCCAAGCUGAGAUAUACCUAUCGCAAUUUGGAUAUUUACCUGCCUCAGCCAAAAAUCCAUCAAGUGGUGGAUUACUUGAUCAGGAAACAUGGGAGCGAGCUAUUAGAGAUUUUCAAUCAUUUGCGGGCUUAAAUGUGACUGGUGAAUUGGAUUCAGAAACUACAGAACUAAUGUCAUUGCCACGAUGUGGUGUACGAGAUAAGAUUGGAUUCGGCUCUGACUCACGAUCAAAACGAUAUGCACUACAAGGAAGUCGAUGGAAGGUUAAAAACUUAACAUACAGAAUAUCAAAGUAUCCAAAACGGUUGAAGCGAAGCGACGUUGAUGCUGAAUUAGCUAGGGCUUUUGCUGUCUGGAGUGGAUAUACGGACCUUACGUUCACGCCAAAAUCAACCAAUCCAGUUCAUAUUGAAAUCAGAUUUGAAGAAAACGAACACGGCGACGGUGAUCCAUUUGACGGUCCAGGUGGUACUCUAGCUCAUGCCUAUUUCCCAGUUUAUGGUGGAGAUGCCCAUUUUGACGAUGCCGAGCUCUGGACAAUUGGUAGUCCACGUGGUACAAAUUUGUUCCAAGUCGCGGCGCACGAAUUUGGACAUUCAUUAGGAUUAAGUCAUUCAGAUGUUCGAUCAGCUUUAAUGGCACCGUUCUAUCGUGGUUUUGAUCCAGUUUUCAAAUUAGACUCCGACGAUAUUUAUGCUAUUCAAGCGCUAUACGGUAAGAAAACAACAAGGGGAGCAAGUUAUCCCACAUCGCCAAGCACAAGGAAACCCUCGUUCGUACCACGUGCAGAGGAUAACGAAUUGUGUAAAGAUCCACGAAUUGACACAAUUUUCAACACUGCCGAGGGAUUCACGUAUGCUUUCAAGGGUGAUAAAUAUUAUAGACUGACGGAAAAUGCUGUUGCUGAGGGUUAUCCAAAAUUGAUUUCAGAAGGAUGGCCUGGUUUGGAAGGCGACAUCGAUGCAGCUUUUACAUAUAAAAAUGGUAAAACAUAUUUCUUCAAAGGCACAAAAUAUUGGCGAUAUUAUGGACGACAAAUGGAUGGUGACUAUCCUAAAGAAAUUAGUGAUGGUUUCGUUGGAAUACCGGAUCAUAUUGAUGCGGCCAUGGUGUGGGGUGGAAAUGGAAAAAUUUACUUCUAUAAGGGUACAAAGUUCUGGAGAUUUGAUCCACUCAAACGACCACCAGUUAAACAAACAUACCCAAAACCAAUUUCAAAUUGGGAGGGUUUGCCAAAUAAUUUAGAUGCCGCCUUACAGUAUACAAAUGGUUAUACAUAUUUCUUCAAGGGUGAUAAAUACUAUCGGUUUAACGAUAGAACAUUCUCGGUUGAUGAAGUGAAUCCACCAUUCCCCCGCCCAACAGCCUACUGGUGGUUCGGCUGCAGGAACGUGCCAUCAACGUUCGGUCCACUAGGCAAUAAAACCCGAAGUUAACCCUCUCCUUUAUAUUUAUAUAAACUGAAUGUUCCUCGAACUUGCUGUUAUGCCUAAUUUUAUGUAUUUGACUAUGACUUAUGUUAAUUGUUUUAAAUGUUAAAAAUAAUUCAUUUUAAAAGAGGAAAUAGCUUCAAGUGAAAAAAAUUGGGAAAAAUAAUAUUCUUUCUUGUGAAGUAUUUUUUCUUUUUACUUUUGGAGAAGGAUUGUUUCCAAAAUUAGCAAGUAUUACAAGUUUCGGCCUUGAAUUUCAUUUGAAAAAAAAAAACAAUUCCUUCUGCAAAAUCAAUACAAUUUGGAAUUUUGUGUUUUUGCAUAACUUGUGUUUGCUGCAUUUACUACUUUUCUGUAAAGAAGGACCAACCGUUCCAAGAACUCCAAAAUACCCAUGGUGUGAUAUGUUCCCAUCAUAUCCUGGUUGCUGAUUUCUUCGAUGCGAAACGUUUACAUAUCAGUUUUAUUAUUUAUAUGUAUUUUAAUUAAGAAUACGAUACACAUACACAUUUGUUGCCAUUUGUUAUAUUUAUGUCAAAGAAAAACACAAUCGUGUGUCAGGACAAUUGCCAUGUCUAUAAACAAUGACGACUUUACAUUCGAUACGAACAUAUUUCCGAGAAAUUUUAUCAAUCCGACACCGAUGACAGACCUGCACACGAUGAACAAAAUGGUGGUAAUUCUGGAGGUAGAAUUCUAACCAGCAUAACAAAUGUGUUCCUGCCAACUGCAAUUUUGAUUGCCGUCACAAAACUUUUAAAUUGCUAGAAAAU
rnacentral:misc_RNA from 1 species